AGUGAACGCUGGCGGUAGGCCUAACACAUGCAAGUCGAACGGCAGCACAGUAAGAGCUUGCUCUUACGGGUGGCGAGUGGCGGACGGGUGAGGAAUACAUCGGAAUCUACUUUUUCGUGGGGGAUAACGUAGGGAAACUUACGCUAAUACCGCAUACGACCUACGGGUGAAAGCAGGGGAUCUUCGGACCUUGCGCGAUUGAAUGAGCCGAUGUCGGAUUAGCUGGUUGGCGGGGUAAAGGCCCACCAAGGCGACGAUCCGUAGCUGGUCUGAGAGGAUGAUCAGCCACACUGGAACUGAGACACGGUCCAGACUCCUACGGGAGGCAGCAGUGGGGAAUAUUGGACAAUGGGCGCAAGCCUGAUCCAGCCAUACCGCGUGGGUGAAGAGGGCCUUCGGGUUGUAAAGCCCUUUUGUUGGGAAAGAAAAGCAGCAGGUUAAUACCCCGCUGUUCUGACGGUACCCAAAGAAUAAGCACCGGCUAACUUCGUG
rnacentral:rRNA from 1 species